CGCGUAGGCGGCUUGGUCAGUCGGAUGUGAAAGCCCCGGGCUUAACCUGGGAAUUGCAUUCGAUGCUGCUAGGCUAGAGUGUAGUAGAGGGAAGCGGAAUUCCAGGUGUAGCGGUGAAAUGCGUAGAUAUCUGGAGGAACAUCAGUGGCGAAGGCGGCUUCCUGGACUAACACUGACGCUGAGGUGCGAAAGCGUGGGGAGCAAACA
rnacentral:rRNA from 1 species